rnacentral:misc_RNA from 1 species
GUCGUCUCCGAUGUUAAGAACAAUCUCUAACUUGCGAUCUUCUUUAACCUCCGGGAUUUGCCUUCCUCAAGCCCUACGCCACUUCUCUCAAUUCUCAAUCUCUCUACUGCCUACUCAAACUCAAUCAAUCCACUUGCUCGUUAAUCCAUCACCGUCUACUCAAUCAUCUUUAUUCCAUUCUCUGUCAUCACCUUGUAGCUCUCUUCUUCUACAGAAGCAUCAAGAUGGGUCAGGAGAUGACUUCAACACGGACCCUAAGAGUCCUCCAAGGCUAUUUGUUGUUCAGCCUCGGUUUCGGCCUGAUUCGGUUCUCAAGCCUAAACUUAAUGAGGCACUGAACCUGGCUAAUUCCCUUGAAGAACAAAGACAUGGGUUCUACGAUACUGAGUUUCUUGAUAAACAAAUGCCCCAUCAUCUUGUCGUCCAAAACCCGGCUUCUCGAUCAAUUCGCGCUGAUACAUUUUUUGGACCUGGAACUGUGGAUACAGUGAAAUGCCAUGUUAAUUCUUUGGAUACUCAGGAAGGAAUAGAUGCCAUUUUUGUAAAUGCAAUUCUUACUGGCAUACAGCAGCGAAAUUUAGAACGGGCUUGGGGUAAACCUGUUCUGGACCGUGUAGGCCUGAUAAUAGAGAUUUUCAAUGCACAUGCUCAGACGAAAGAAGCUAAGCUACAGGCUGAGUUGGCUGCACUUAUGUACAAAAAAAGUCGUCUUGUUCGUGUGCGCGGUCCUGGUGGACGUUAUGGUUUUGGUGUAGGUGGAGAAGCUGAAGUAGUUAGUGCCAGAGGGAGAGGAAGCGGGGGACGUGGUUUCAUUAGUGGUGCUGGAGAGACAGAAUUGCAGCUUCAGCGGCGCAGAAUUUUAGAACGGAGGAAUCAAUUGUUAUCUGAGAUUAAAGAGGUUCGUCGUACGCGAGCAUUGCAGCGUGCUGCUCGUAAGAGGCAUGGAGGAUCAGAUGGUCAAGAAAUUCCUACAGUUGCUGUUGUUGGUUACACAAAUGCUGGGAAAUCUACUUUGGUUAGUGCAGUAUCAGAGAGCUUUCUCUACUGUGAUGAUCGAUUGUUUGCCACAGUGGACCCCAAGUUAAGAAGUGUCGUUCUCCCAUCAGGGUAAUAUGAAAUUGGAUGAAUUUGUUAGACCAUCCAUCUAGUGGAGAGAAACUAGAAGGACCUCCCUUUUGGUUUGAGAAAUAAUUGGAAAGUUUAAUGUUUCCUUACACAUAGCUCUGCUACAGUUUGUUAGUACUCUUAAAAGCUAUGAUACUGUAAUAAAUUGAAGUUUUUGUUUCAAUUUGUCCAUACAAUAUCAAUGUCUUACCA